GAUCCUGGCUCAGGAUGAACGCUGGCGGCGUGCCUAACACAUGCAAGUCGAGCGAAGCACUUUGCUUAGAUUCUUCGGAUGAAGAGGAUUGUGACUGAGCGGCGGACGGGUGAGUAACGCGUGGGUAACCUGCCUCAUACAGGGGGAUAACAGUUAGAAAUGACUGCUAAUACCGCAUAAGACCACAGCACCGCAUGGUNCGGGGGUAAAAACUCCGGUGGUAUGAGAUGGACCCGCG
rnacentral:rRNA from 1 species